UGAAUUGAAGGAAUCUUUUUCAAUAGCUUAUCUUUACAAAAUUGUAAAAGAUAUAAUACUUCCAAGGAAUAUGUGGGGACUGCAUUUGAUUCCAUUAAAAAAACAACAUUUGUUCACAUAAAUGAUCCAUUAAAAACUGAUAAAACUGUAGUUUUUACUGAUUCAUGUUUACCAAGUGUAGUCAUUAUUGAUAAACAAAUUGAAGUUAAUAAAAUAAAAAGUGAAAACGAUUUGCAACUAUUACUUCAAAAUCUAUAUAUCUUUAAAAUAUGUAAAAGAGUUAAUAAUUGUCGCCAAUCAAAAUUGUGUGUUCGUUUCUUUGAUCCUUCAUUAACUUCUCCGAGAAUUGUAAGAUGUUUUAACCGUGCAUCAGAAAGAAGAAAACUGCAAAAAGUAAAAUCCAUAAAUUUAACACCAGCUAAACAACUUCAACGACUAACAAGAAGGUUAAAAACUAAACAUCAACAAAAAACUAGACUUAACAAUAAUUUGGUUACAUUGAAGCAGAAAUUAUGGACAAUGCAAAGAGAGUGCAGCCUUGUUUCUAAGGAUAUGUUGAAUGAUUGCAUACUGGAUUUGCUAAUAGAGCAAUAAGAAAUGGUUAAAACAAUUUUUAAUGCAGCAAAAUGUAAAAGCUCUAAAGGAAGAAGAUAUAGUCUAGAAUGGGUAUAUGAAUGCUUGUUAAUGCAUAUCAAGGGACCAAAAUUAUACAGAAAAAUGAGAAAAUAAAAUAAAUAGCCCUUGCCAUCAGAAAAAACACUUGGAAGAUAUAUCAAAAAUUGCACCCUGCUUAUGGAUUCCAAGAAAACACAUUUCAAGUCAUGAAAGAGAAAGCUCAAGACUUUAGUUUGGCAGCAAGACAUGGUUGUUUACUUCUGGAUGAAAUGCAAUUAGAAUCAGUUGUAAAAUUUCAACGCGAUAGUUUACAGUUUCAUGGUUUUGUUGACCUUGGUGCCCAAACUUCAAACAAAGAUUUAACAAAAAGAGGUGAUCAUGCACUUGUACUGAUGUAUCAACCAUUCCG